UACAGAGGUCUCAAGCGUUGUUCGGAUUCAUUGGGCGUAAAGGGUGUGUAGGUGGCGCCGUAAGUCGGGUGUGAAAUCUUGGAGCUUAACUCCGAAACUGCAUUCGAUACUGCCGUGCUUGAGGACUGGAGAGGAGACUGGAAUUUACGGUGUAGCGGUGAAAUGCGUAGAUAUCGUAAGGAAGACCAGUGGCGAAGGCGGGUCUCUGGACAGUUCCUGACGCUGAGGCACGAAGGCCAGGGGAGCAAACGGG
rnacentral:rRNA from 1 species